CCUACGGGAGGCAGCAGUGGGGAAUAUUGGGCAAUGGGCGCAAGCCUGAUCCAGCAACGCCGCGUGAAGGAAGAAGGCUUUCGGGUUGUAAACUUCUUUUGUCAGGGACGAAGCAAGUGACGGUACCUGAAGAAUAAGCCACGGCUAACUACGUGCCAGCAGCCGCGGUAAUACGUAGGUGGCAAGCGUUAUCCGGAUUUACUGGGUGUAAAGGGCGUGUAGGCGGGGAAGCAAGUCAGAUGUGAAAACCACGGGCUCAACCUGUGGCCUGCAUUUGAAACUGUUUUUCUUGAGUGCUGGAGAGGCAAUCGGAAUUCCGUGUGUAGCGGUGAAAUGCGUAGAUAUACGGAGGAACACCAGUGGCGAAGGCGGAUUGCUGGACAGUAACUGACGCUGAGGCGCGAAAGCGUGGGGAGCAAACAGGAUUAGAUACCCGAGUAGUC
rnacentral:rRNA from 1 species